GACGAACGCUGGCGGCGUGCUUAACACAUGCAAGUCGAACGGAAAGGCCCUGCUUUUGUGGGGUGCUCGAGUGGCGAACGGGUGAGUAACACGUGAGUAACCUGCCCUUGACUUUGGGAUAACUUCAGGAAACUGGGGCUAAUACCGGAUAGGAGCUCCUGCUGCAUGGUGGGGGUUGGAAAGUUUCGGCGGUUGGGGAUGGACUCGCGGCUUACCAGCUUGUUGGUGGGGUAGUGGCUUACCAAGGCUUUGACGGGUAGCCGGCCUGAGAGGGUGACCGGCCACAUUGGGACUGAGAUACGGCCCAGACUCCUACGGGAGGCAGCAGUGGGGAAUAUUGCACAGUGGGUGGAAGCCUGAUGCAGCAACGCCGCGUGCGGGAUGACGGCCUUCGGGUUGUAAACCGCUUUCGCCUGUGACGAAGCGUGAGUGACGGUAAUGGGUAAAGAAGCACCGGCUAACUACGUG
rnacentral:rRNA from 1 species